rnacentral:lncRNA from 1 species
AAAGUUCAAAAACAGGAGGAAGAUGUCAAUGUUAGAAAAAGGCCAAGGAUGGAUAUAGAAACAAAUGACACUUUCAGUGAUGAAGCAGUACCAGAAAGUAGCAAAAUAUCUGUACAAAAUCAACAUGCAAAAGAAGAGUCUCUUGCUGAUGAUCUUUUUAGAUACAAUCCUUAUUUAAAAAGGAGAAGAUAACUGAGGAUUUUAAAAAGAAGCCAUGGAAAAACUUCCUAGUAAGCAUCUACUUCAGGCCAACAAGGUUAUAUGAAUAUAUAGUGUAUAGAAGCGAUUUAAGUUACAAUGUUUUAUGGCCUAAAUUUAUUAAAUAAAAUGCACAAAACUUUGAUUCUUUUGUAUGUAACAAUUGUUUGUUCUGUUUUCAGGCUUUGUCAUUGCAUCUUUUUUUCAUUUUUAAAUGUGUUUUGUUUAUUAAAUAGUUAAUAUAGUCACAGUUCAAAAUUCUAAAUGUACGUAAGGUAAAGACUAAAGUCACCCUUCCACCAUUGUCCUAGCUACUUGGUUCCCCUCAGAAAAAAAUUCAUGAUACUCAUUUCUUAUGAAUCUUUCCAGGGAUUUUUGAGUCCUAUUCAAAUUCCUAUUUUUAAAUAAUUUCCUACACAAAUGAUAGCAUAACAUAUGCAGUGUUCUACACCUUGCUUUUUUACUUAGUAGAUUAAAAAUUAUAGGAAUAUCAAUAUAAUGUUUUUAAUAUUUUUUCUUUUCCAUUAUGCUGUAGUCUUACCUAAACUCUGGUGAUCCAAACAAAAUGGCUUCAGUGGUGCAGAUGUCACCUACAUGUUAUUCUAGUACUAGAAACUGAAGACCAUGUGGAGACUUCAUCAAACAUGGGUUUAGUUUUCACCAGAAUGGAAAGACCUGUACCCCUUUUUGGUGGUCUUACUGAGCUGGGUGGGUGUCUGUUUUGAGCUUAUUUAGAGUCCUAGUUUUCCUACUUAUAAAGUAGAAAUGGUGAGAUUGUUUUCUUUUUCUACCUUAAAGGGAGAUGGUAAGAAACAAUGAAUGUCUUUUUUCAAACUUUAUUGACAAGUGAUUUUCAAGUCUGUGUUCAAAAAUAUAUUCAUGUACCUGUGAUCCAGCAAGAAGGGAGUUCCAGUCAAGAGUCACUACAACUGAUUAGUUGUUUAGAGAAUGAGAAAUGGAACAGUGAGGAAUGGAGGCCAUAUUUCCAUGACUUCCCUUGUAAACAGAAGCAACAGAAGGGACAAGAGGCUGGCCUCUACAUCACUCUCACCUUCCAAAUCUUGUGGAAGUGCAUCUACUUGCCAGAACCAAAUUAACUUACUUCCAAGUUCUGGCUGCUUGCAGGUGGAACUCCAGCUGCAAGGGAGUUAGGGAAAUGAAGGUCUUUUUUUAAAAGCUUCUCAGCCUUCCUAGGGAACAGAAAUUGGGUGAGCCAAUCUGCAAUUUCUACUACAGGCAUUGAGACCAGUUAGAUUAUUGAAAUAUUAUAGAGAGUUAUGAACACUUAAAUUAUGAUAGUGGUAUGACAUUGGAUAGAACAUGGGAUACUUUAGAAGUAGAAUUGACAGGGCAUAUUAGUUGAUGAAAUGGAGUCAUUUGAGUCUCUUAAUAGCCAUGUAUCAUAAUUACCAAGUGAAGCUGGUGGAACAUAUGGUCUCCAUUUUACAGUUAAGGAAUAUAAUGGACAGAUUAAUAUUGUUCUCUGUCAUGCCCACAAUCCCUUUCUAAGGAAGACUGCCCUACUAUAGCAGUUUUUAUAUUUGUCAAUUUAUGAAUAUAAUGAAUGAGAGUUCUGGUACCUCCUGUCUUUACAAAUAUUGGUGUUGUCAGUAUUUUUCCUUUUUAACCAUUCCAAUCGGUGUGUAGUGAUGUUUCAUUUUGGUUUUAAUUUGUAUAUCCCUGAUAGCUAUAAUUGGGUCAUAGAAAUUCUUUAUACAUUCUAGAUGCAAGUCUCUUGUCGGAUAUAUGUAUUGAGAUAUUACACCUAGUCUGUGGCUUGACUGUUUUCUUUAUGUCUUUUGAUGAAUAGAAGUUUUAAAUUUUGACAAGGUCAAAUUUAUUUUUUUCUUUUGUUUGAUAUUUUUUCUCUCCAAUUUAACCCCAAGAUUUCAGAUAUUCUGCUCUAUUAUAUAAACUUUAUAUUUUUAUAUUUGUGAUCUACCUUGAAUUGAUAUGUAUGUUGUGAAUUAUGGAUCAGGGUUCUUUUUUUCCCCCAUACAAGUAUCCAGUCAUUGUAACACUGUUUAUUGAAAGAAUUAUCCUUUCCUCAUUAAAUUACCUUGCCAAUUAGUAAAAAAUCAAUUAACCAUAAUGGUGGAUCUGUUUCUGGACUUUCUGUUUGGUUACACUGAAAUGUUUGUCCAUCCUUGCACUCACUCAUACCAUACUGCCUUGAAUUACUGUAGCUGCAUAGAUGCUCCUUAAGUUGGGAUUACAUUGUAAUAAACGCAAUGUAAGUU